rnacentral:rRNA from 1 species
AGUGAACGCUGGCGGUAGGCCUAACACAUGCAAGUCGAACGGCAGCACAGUAAGAGCUUGCUCUUACGGGUGGCGAGUGGCGGACGGGUGAGGAAUACAUCGGAAUCUACUUUUUCGUGGGGGAUAACGUAGGGAAACUUACGCUAAUACCGCAUACGACCUACGGGUGAAAGCAGGGGAUCUUCGGACCUUGCGCGAUUGAAUGAGCCGAUGUCGGAUUAGCUAGUUGGCGGGGCAAAGGCCCACCAAGGCGACGAUCCGUAGCUGGUCUGAGAGGAUGAUCGGCCACACGGGAACGGAGACACGGUCCAGACUCCUACGGGAGGCAGCAGUGGGGAAUAUUGGACAAUGGGCGCAAGCCUGAUCCAGCCAUACCGCGUGGGUGAAGAAGGCCUUCGGGUUGUAAAGCCCUUUUGUUGGGAAAGAAAAGCAGCAGGUUAAUACCCCGCUGUUCUGACGGUACCCAAAGAAUAAGCACCGGCUAACUUCGUG